rnacentral:rRNA from 1 species
AGUCUAGGCGGAUUGAUAAGUCAGAAGUGAAAGCCCCGGGCUCAACCCGGGAAGUGCUUUUGAUACUGUCGAUCUUGAGUGUGGGAGAGGAUAGUAGAAUUCCUGGUGUAGUGGUGAAAUACGUAGAUAUCAGGAGGAACACCGGUGGGGAAGCCGGCUGUCUGGCCCAACACUGACGCUCAGACCCGAAAGCGUGGGGAGCAAACAGGAUUAGAUACCCUGGUAGUCC